AUGGAAACAGGAAUACAAAGGCAACAUGGGACUGUAGAAGCUCAGCCACGAGGGAAAGCAAGCCUUUGGAAAAUCAGCUAUGCUGUGAAGACUUUCUCCCUGAGCCUUGCCUUCUUAUCUGGAAUGUUUCAGCCUUGGGAAAAUUGCUCAAAAAGAGCUCUGCUUUCUCUCCCCAGGACUGAUGGUGUACAGAUUGGAUCAUGUAUGGAAUGGAUUCUUAUUUUCCAUAUGCAGAAGCCUAUAUUUUUAAGUAAUUUGCGAGCCGGAUUCCUCAGGAGACGACCAGGUUGCUGGCUUAGUAGAAAAACCCCCCUGAAUUCAGGACCUGAAUUCAGUAAGACCAGAUUCUAG
rnacentral:lncRNA from 1 species